UGCAGUCUUACAACAUUCUAGGCUUAUACAGCAAUGUUAAACCUGAAAAUACUCACAGCUUGAAGUGUUUCCACGGUAUGCUAUAUGUGGAAUCGAUUUCCGAUGUCUUCGUUAUUAGCGAGGCUUUCUUUUGCAAAGAAAGGUCAUGAUGACAAAAGAAAAAAAAAUCGCACCUGAUACCCUGAAAAAAGUUGUAACUCAAGUGCCCAUGAUUCCUGAAUGUAUAAUCGUUCAUUAGAAACCUGCUGCUAACUUAGCUGCCGAGGCGCUGUAAUGGCACACAACAACCAUUUUCAUCAUGAUAUAUAACUCUGGGUUGUCUAUAGAACUGUGUCUUUUCAGAAGCUGCAAGACAA